rnacentral:rRNA from 1 species
AUUGAACGCUGGCGGCGUGCUUAACACAUGCAAGUCGAUCGGUAACGCGGGGGCAACCCUGGCGACGAGAGGCGGACGGGUGAGGAACGCUUGGGAAUCUGCCUAUCAGCGGGGGACAACACGGGGAAACUCGUGCUAAUACCGCAUACGCUCUACGGAGGAAAGCCGGGGACCGCAAGGCCUGGCACUGAUAGAUGAGCCCAAGUCGGAUUAGCUAGUUGGCGGGGUAACGGCCCACCAAGGCGACGAUCCGUAGCUGGUCUGAGAGGACGAUCAGCCACACUGGGACUGAGAAACGGCCCAGACUCCUACGGGAGGCAGCAGUGGGGAAUAUUGGACAAUGGGGGAAACCCUGAUCCAGCGACGCCGCGUGGGUGAAGAAGGCCUGCGGGUUGUAAAGCCCUUUCGGUAGGGACGAAAGCUCUCGACCUAACACGUCGGGGGGUUGACUUAACCUACAAAAGAAGCACCGGCUAACUCUGUGCCAGCCGCCGCAGUAACAC